rnacentral:lncRNA from 1 species
UCAAUGGUUCUUAAUUAAAUCCGCCGUGGUCCCUAUGAAUCGAUGAAGAUAAGAUUUUAACCAGCCCACAGAUUUCGACUGCCGAUGGUGACGUACACAGGGUGACGCGGUUGCCGAAUUAUUCAGAGGCCUUGAUGGGUAUUUCCACGGUAAGAAGCUGAGAGCGUGCCCACUUUGUAAUAUUGCUCCAUAUAAUAUUUAUUAAAAUAAGACAUCCAAUAAUGUCCAAGAAACAUCUGAAUCUGAUCGAGGCCCUGGUUGGUUGUGUGUAUAUUUAUUGUGUGAUAAAAACAUAUUAGUCUGCAUUAUUUCCAUUCUCUUCUUCUUCUUGGCCCAUCUUCCUACUGGGACUUGAAGCUGAGCUCAAGCGGUGAGUGAAGAUGAAUGAUGGGGGAGGCUCAAGUGGACGCUCAUCAAGUGGAGGCAGAUCUAGCCAGGCCCCGGCUAGCGUGAGGGCUCCUGUGCCGCCUCGAGGUGCCGUGAUGAAGAAGAUUGUUUCUGACAUGGUUAAACCCUUUGCCACUUCUUCCUCCUAAUCAUCAUGAUCAAGCAUUGAAGCUUGUCAUGUAUGUUCAUGUGUUGCUCUGCUCUGUAAAUAUUUCUCAACUCUAGCUUUAUGUGAAAUAAACCCUAAUGUAAUCCCCUUAUUAUUAUCAUCCUGCGGAGAGCAGGUGAGGGGGGAAUGCUUGAUUAGGGUUGAAAUUUCCGAAUUGAUGUAGUUAAUGUCUGUAAUUAACGUUCAUGACUUGUUUGUUUGGAAACUAUUGGAGUUUGUGUUUGGUAAUAGAAUGCUGCUAUUUUUAUCUAUCUGUCAUAUUUUUCCGUCCACUUUAUCUUCAAAAUUUUAAAGAAAAAUUUACCUUUUAUAAAAUGGACAUUUACCCCUUUCUCUUUGAAACAUAAUAUUUUUAGAAGGCCAGCGCCAUGGGGUACAAAAUAGACGAAAUGAGAUUGAAUUCUUUUCCAUCAAAGCUUUUCUUUAACUUCUUCUUCGUUAUAUGGGGGGUUCUAUUUACCCCAGCAAACAGCUCAUGCCAUCUAACAAGCCCACAAAAAAUCUGCAAAAAUGGUUGAAGAAAUUAGUUAAAUGGUACCUUAAUUGCUAAUCUGGUGGGAAGAAGGUUGCUGGCAAUAGCUCUUUGAUUGUGGGUUAGACAGAGUAUAUAUCUUCAAUGUCUUUCUUGGAUAUCAGACCACAAACAGACUGCAAUUCUAAAUUGUGCUUCCAAUUGGUUGCCUUUCUAUGCACUCUUCUUUCACUCCAAUUUUGAUCUAAUUCCAAUUAUCACUUCUGUGCAAACUUACAGAGAGAUGGCUGUUUUCCAUAGGGAUGAGGGGCAGCUUUGGGGAGGUGGGGUUGAGGUGGAUUAUUUUUUACUUUUUUUAAUUUAUAAAUAUAUUUUUUUUUGCCAUAAUAUUAUAAGUUUUGCUUAAAUUAAUAAUGAAUGGGUAUUUUAGGAAUUAUGGUGGGUAUUGUGUUUUUUCAAAUUUAUAUGAUAAGUAAAAAGAUAAGGUGGGUGGGAAAAUAGGACAGAUGGUGGAAAUAGCAACACUCUUGGUAAUAUUAUGACCAAGGUUGUUUGCCAAUGACAAUUUUCUUGAUUGCGUUGAAACUUUUUUUGAAUUUUGAUAGUGUGAUUCUGAUGGUGUUGAUUACAUUCAUCAAUAGCUGAGAAUGCUCAGUGUCCACACAUGACUGUGGGUCGAAAUCUAAAUGAAGUAAGUAAAUGGCUUAACUGUGAUUUGCUCCCUGAACUUGUAUCUAAUUUUUAUUUUACCCCUCUUCUUAUUUUUUAGAAAAUUAAGGACCCGAACAGAUUUUUUUCCCCAAUUUGCCCCCCGACGUCAAAAUUUGCCACUUCCCAUUCAUUUUAUCGUCAAGUUGGUGUUUUAGUGGAGACGCAAAAUGAC